rnacentral:rRNA from 1 species
GACGAAGGAUGCAAGCGUUAUCCGGAUUCAUUGGGUUUAAAGGGAGCGUAGGUGGCCUUAUAAGUCAGUGGUGAAAUCUCUGGGCUUAACCCAGAAAUUGCCAUUGAUACUGUAGGGCUUGAGUAUAGAUGCCGUUGGCAGAAUAUGACAUGUAGUGGUGAAAUACAUAGAGAUGUCAUAGAACACCGAUUGCGAAGGCAGCUAACGAAACUAUAACUGACACUGAGGCUCGAAAGUGUGGGGAUCAAACAGG